UGGUUGCAGCUCGUGGCCGUGUUUAUAUCGAAGGACCACCAUUAAGGCGAACAUUGCGUGAGGAGUACAACAAACGCUUGAUCAAUGAGAAUUUCAUGAAUACAACACCAAUGUUCUUUGUUUGAAUGGAAAAGAAAAUAGUAAUCUCAUUUAUACGACUAUACGAUAAUAUUUUAAUCAUAUGCAUUAUCCUAUUUUUAUUGUAAAGAAAAGUCAUUGCUAACUGAGGACGAAUGUCCUAAUCUCGCCCUCGCUAAGCAAAGCGCAUUUUUUACAUUUCAAAUGUUAUGUUUUCAACUAUAUUCCACUGGAUUGGCGAAAAUAUGCAACAGCAAAAUUCAUCGAGUUAAACUUAUAAAUUGUUUUGAAUUGAAAAAAUAUCGCGAAAUCCUUGGUAAUAAAUAAAACAUACAUUUGAAAACAGAUUCUUAACCUCUAUAUCCAAUAAUCCACAUAAACAUAUGUAUUAAAUAUCUGUCAUGUUAUAUCUAAAGCACCUGUAAUAAAUUUACCGAGUGCUGUA